rnacentral:rRNA from 1 species
UACGUAGGGAGCAAGCGUUUGUCCGGAUUUAUUGGGCGUAAAGAGCUCGUAGGCGGCUUAGAAAGUCAGGUGUGAAACCUCCAGGCUCAACCUGGAGACGCCACUUGAUACUUCUAUGGCUUGAGUUCGGUAGGGGUAAGCGGAAUUCCUGGAUGUAGCGGUGAAAUGACGCAGAUAUCAGGAGGAACACCGAGUGGCGAAGGCAGCUUACUGGGCCGAUACUGACGCUGAGGAGCGAAAGCGUGGGGAGCGAACAGG